rnacentral:rRNA from 1 species
UCGAGAAUCUUCCGCAAUGGGCGAAAGCCUGACGGAGCGACACCGCGUGCAGGACGAAGGCCCUCGGGUUGUAAACUGCUGUCACGCUCUAGGAAUCCCGUGUUGUGAAUAGCAGCACGGUUGACUAAGGCGAGAGGAAGUGGCGGCUAACUCUGUGCCAGCAGCCGCGGUAAGACAGAGGCCACGAACGUUGUUCGGAAUCACUGGGCAUAAAGCGCACGUAGGCGGCUAGGUCCGUCCGAUGUGAAAGCCCCCGGCUCAACCGGGGAAUAGCAUCGGAUACAGCCUGGCUUGAGGACGGUUGGGGUGAGUGGAACUCCUGGUGGAGCGGUGAAAUGCGUAGAUAUCAGGAGGAACACCGGUGGCGAAAGCGGCUCACUGGACCGUUACUGACGCUGAGGUGCGAAAGCUAGGGGAGCAAACGGGAUUAGAUACCCCAGUAGUCCCUGAGCGGGCUGGCAAGGCGCAU